AUUGAACGCUGGCGGCAGGCCUAACACAUGCAAGUCGAGCGGAGCGGCGGACGGGUGAGUAAUGCCUAGGAAUCUGCCUGGUAGUGGGGGAUAACGUCCGAAAACUGGCGCUAAUACCGCAUACUAUCAGAUGAGCCUAGGUCGACUUAGCUAGUUGGUGGGGGAAAGGCCUACAAAGGCGACGAUCCGUAACUGGUCUGAGAGGAGGAUCAGUCAAACUGGAACUGAGACACGGUCCAGACUCCUACGGGAGGCAGCAGUGGGGAAUAUUGGACAAUGGGCGAAAGCCUGAGCCAGCCAUGCGGCGUGUGUGAAGAAGGUCUUCGGAGUGUAAAGCACUUUAAGUUGGGAGGCGUUACCAACAGAAUAAGCACCGGCUAACUUCGUGCCAGCAGCCGCGGUAAUUC
rnacentral:rRNA from 1 species